AGAGUUUGAUCAUGGCUCAGAUUGAACGCUGGCGGCAUGCUUAAUACAUGCAAGUCGAACGGUAACAGGUUCUUCGGAAUGCUGACGAGUGGCGGACGGGUGAGUAAUGCAUAGGAAUCUGCCCAUGUAGUGGGGGUAACUUGGGGAAACUCAAGCUAAUACCGCAUAAUUCCUACGGGAGAAAGAGGGCCUAUACUUGUAAGCUCUUGCUAUUGGAUGAGCCUAUGUCGGAUUAGUUAGUUGGUGAGGUAAUGGCUUACCAAGACAACGAUCCGUAGCUGGUUUGAGAGGAUGAUCAGCCACACUGGGACUGAGACACGGCCCAGACUCCUACGGGAGGCAGCAGUAGGGAGUAUUGGACAAUGGGCGCAAGCCUGAUCCAGCAAUGCCGCGUGUGUGAAGAAGGCCUGCGGGUUGUAAAGCACUUUCAAUUGGGAAGAAAGAUUUAGAGUUAAUACCUCUUAAUAUUGACGUUACCAAUAGAAGAAGCACCGGCUAACUCCGUGCCAGCAGCCGCGGUAAUACGGAGGGUGCAAGCGUUGUUCGGAAUUACUGGGCGUAAAGCGCGCGUAGGCGGCUUUGUAAGUAGAGGGUGAAAUCCCAGGGCUCAACCUGGGAAUUGCAUCCAAAACUGGCAAUCUAGAAUACAGUAGAGGGUAGUGGAAUUUCAGGUGUAGCGGUGAAAUGCGUAGAUAUCAGAAGGAACACCGGUGGCGAAGGCGACUUCCUGGACUGGUACUGACGCUGAGGCGCGAAGGCGUGGGGAGCAAACAGGAUUAGAUCCCCUGGUAGUCCACGCCGUAAACGAUGGGUACUAGGUGUCGCGGGUAUUUUCCCGCCGGUGCCGCAGGUAACCCAAUAAGUACGCCGCCUGGGGAGUACGAUCGCAAGGUUGAAACUCAAAGGAAUUGACGGGGGCCCGCACAAGCGGUGGAGCAUGUGGUUUAAUUCGAUGCAACGCGAAGAACCUUACCUGCUUUUGACAUACUAGGAAUCUUACAGAGAUGUAGGAGUGCCUUGGGGAACUUGGAGACAGGUGCUACAUGGCUGUCGUCAGCUCGUGUCGUGAGAUGUUGGGUUAAGUCCCGCAACGAGCGCAACCCUCGUCUUUAGUUACCAUCGGUUCGGCCGGGCACUCUAGAGAGACUGCCGGUGUCAAGCCGGAGGAAGGUGGGGAUGACGUCAAGUCAUCAUGGCCCUUAUGGGCAGGGCUACACACGUGCUACAAUGGCCGGCACAGAGGGCCGCGAGCCUGCGAAGGUAAGCAAAUCCCUUAAAACCGGUCGUAGUCCGGAUCGGAGUCUGCAACUCGACUCCGUGAAGUCGGAAUCGCUAGUAAUCGCGGAUCAGCAUGCCCGCGGUGAAUACGUUCCCGGGCCUUGUACACACCGCCCGUCACACCAUGGGAGUUGGCUGCACCAGAAGUAGGUAGCUUAACCUUUCGGGGAGGGCGCUUACCACGGUGUGGUCAAUGACUGGGGUGAAGUCGUAACAAGGUA
rnacentral:rRNA from 1 species